CAGCACCUCAAGUGGUCAGGAGGAUUAUUGGGCCUAAAGCAUCCGUAGCCGGCUGCAUAAGUCUUCGGUUAAAUUCAUAUGCUCAACAUAUGGGCUGCCGGAGAUACUGUGCAGCUAGGGAGUGGGAGAGGUAGACGGUACUCGGUAGGAAGGGGUAAAAUCCUUUGAUCUAUUGAUGACCACCUGUGGCGAAGGCGGUCUACUAGAACACGUCCGACGGUGAGGGAUGAAAGCUGGGGGGGAGCAAACCGGGAUUAGAUACCCGGGUAGUCCCAGCUGUAAACAAUGCAAACUCAGUGAUGCAUUGGCUUGUGGCCAGUGCAGUGCCGCAGGGGAAGCCGUUAAGUUUGCCGCCUGGAAGUACGUACGCAAGUAUGA
rnacentral:rRNA from 1 species